CGGCCGGUUGUUGUCUUAUCUGGUUUUCAAGUUAUGAGUACGUAUAUUUUGGAAUGGAGUAAUUGUGCAUAAAUAGAGUAUUUAUAUAUACUUUUUGUAAUUGGGUAUAUGUACAUACUUUUUGUAAUAGAGUAUAUGUACAUACAUUUUAGAAUGAGUAUCCUUACAUACUUUUUGGAAUAGAGUAUUUGUAUAUACAAUUUAGAAUGGAGUAUGCAUACAUACACCAAGAUUUACAUAGUAUAAGUGUAUACUUAAACCAAACGAUCGGAGUAUAUGUGCAUGCAUUCACUUAUGAGAGAUACAAAACAAGAGUAUGUAUUUAACUAUUUUUAUUAUAAUUGUGAACCUAGCUUGAAAUAAACAAAAUUUAAGUCAUGUGCGAUAUCGAUCGAUCCAUAAGAUGAGAGAAACGCCCGUCUCCAGAAGCAAGUCAGGCGCGAUCCAUCAGAUGAGACAAACGCCGUCUCCAAAACGAGAUGAUGGGAUCAAUCUGCACAUUUCAGCCUGUAUAGAACAGAGAGCACCAUGAUCACUGAUCUCUACAGCCUUUUGAAACGGUGGUGGACAAAAAAAAUUAAUUAUGAACUCUAGAAAAUCUCAGGAAUCCAAAUUCUAUGGAUCAAUGCACGAAUUCCUACAUCUCGCCGCUCCCUGAUCUUAUCCGAAGAGGGACCAUCUCGCGGCUCCCUGAUCUGAAAAGACCAAAGGAACUUGACGCUAAGCCUUAAUAUACUACUGGAGAAAACAACAUUGAUUUUGCCAUAUUAAAUCAAUACCUUGUCACCAGGGAUGAUACACGUUCGUAUGCAGAUCUCUCGUCGUGAUCUCCAAGAUGAGAUGAGAGUAUGAGACUGAAUGCGAAACGAAGAAAGCGGGACCUAGUGAGCCAAUGAGACGACGCCGGCGGCUCCGGUGAAUGUUGUAUUGCUU
rnacentral:lncRNA from 1 species